UCUGCCAGCUGUUCAUGGAGGGGCUCUGGGCCAUGUUUGGAUCAUUGAGGAAGGGCAAGGAGCCUGAGUAGCACCCAUUGCAUCCGGUGAAAACUUAUUGCAACUCCUCGUGUGAUGGAUUGCGGCCUGGCUGUCCUCUCCACCAGGAGCUUCGUGAGAGCAGGAAACUUGACUGCCUUCCGCACUGCUGAAUCCCCAGUGGCCUGUGCAGUUCUGUCCAAUGCAUAUUUGUUAAACGAAUAACAAAGUAAAAGGUCUUUCCUGGAAUGCCAACAAGCUUCCUAGGGAGACACAGACUGACAUAGCAAACUAUUCAGAACAACGCAGGGUAAGUUGUGUCUAGCCAUCUCCAGAGAGCGUGGCCCUCACCCUUGGGGCUUUAGGAAUUCAGAGAAAGGAAGAAAGGGUAUUAGCUACUUUGUGAAGACUCUGCUUGAGACCACGCAUUCCAGAGAGAAGGAAGAGAGCAGGAAAAGUAACAUUGGUCGUGUGUCUACAGCAUGCCAGAAACCUACCCUACGACAUCUUUUUACAUCUUCACAGUUAUCUAGUUUUACAAAGGAGGAAACUGAGACCCAGAGAAGGUACACGUGGGUUCUGAGAGGUCCAACAACAAACAGGGCAGUUGGGCCCACCCAGAGCAGCUGCAGCCCUUGGAGGUGGCCUGAAAUUGGACAAGGCCUGGAAUGAGGGUCUGGGCACCGCUCCCAGCAUCUGACCUUGGAUGGAGACAGCAGAGCUGUGGUUUGGGAGAUUUUCCUUCCUCAGCUAGGGCCCACUGGAGCCUGUUGUAAGGAUCCAGGGCUGCGGAGAGACGGAUGCACAGACAGGCAGACGGAUGUCCCAUGGGAGAGGCUGCCAGGUCUCGGCAGCUGCCGCUGGAGACGGGUCACAGAAACCUCCGGAGGCCACCCCCUCCAGGGAGAUGGAUAAUGUUGGGAUUGGUGGGUCUGCCUCCUGGGAUGACGGCUGAAUGCUUUCUGCAUUCCGAAGCUCGUCACCUCCCCUCCCCAGCCCAGUUCUACCAGUGUGCGGUCCUCUGGGCCUGCCCUUCUCUGCCCUCCCAGUUAUCCGCUGCCCCCUCCCCUCCCACCUCCUCCAUGCUCCCUGCACUUCCUCUUUUCCUGGGUGUUAGCAGUGCAGUGCUUUACCGUUCACAAAGCACAUUUAUACACACUAGAUCAUUUGAUCCUUAGAAGAACCCUAUGCAGGAAGGGACGGAGGAACGGAGGAAGAAGAAGCUUCUGGAAAGAAGAGGUUUAAGGCUAUUAGAUGGCAUGCUCACACGGAUGUUCCAGUUGCCUCAGAUGUUGGCAGGAGUGGAGACGGAGAAGAUGUCAGGGA